CGUGAUGGGGUUAUCCCGAGUGCCGUCCGAUGAGGAUGGCUUUUCAUNNGUGUAAGGAUCCGAUGGAAUAAAGGGGGGGCAAGACUGGUGUCAGCCGCCGCGGUAAUACCAGCCCCNUGAGUGGUAGGGANGAUUAUUUGGCNUAAAGCGUUCGUAGCCGGCUUAUCAAGUCUUUUGUUAAAUCCAGCGAUUCAAUCGUUGGGCCGCAAAAGAUACUGUUAUGNUAGAGGACGGGAGAGGUCGACGGUAGUCCAGGGGUAGGGGUGAAAUCCUAUAAUCCUUGGAGGACCACCAGUGGCGAAGGCGGUCGACUAGAACGUGCCUGACGGUGAGGGACGAAAGCUGGGGGAGCGAACCGGAUUAGAUACCCGGGUAGUCCCAGCCGUAAACGAUGCGGGCUAGGUGUUGGGGCAGCCACGAGCUGCUCCAGUGCCGCAGAGAAGUUGUUAAGCCCGCCGCCUGGGGAGUACGGCCGCAAGGCUGAAACUUAA
rnacentral:rRNA from 1 species